CGCAUUAAACACGCAAUAAGUGUUAAACCUUUGAUCAAUCAGGGACUGAAAACAUAGAAGUACCAACCGUUUGAAAAUAUAUCACGAAGUGGAAUUAAUAAAUGUGGGUUGUGUCCGACUGGAAUUCUAUAACAGUCUGUCAUUUAUCGGAAUAGAGCUGAGAAAGAAAAAACACUGGAGUGAGUGAGAUUCUCCAGAUUUACACUGAAAUCAUUUACUGCUUUGUGUUUCUGUUUUUUCCUUAGAAAACUUUAUUGAUAAACGGAUGUUUUGAACACAAAAGGUCCUGAAGAUCUUCUUCUAUGCAGACGAUUCUGUUCUGUCCAUCACAGCUUCAGGAAGGAUGGAACCCUCCACUCCUGACUCUGAACUUCAUCCCAGAACCUCUACAUUAAGGAGGUGCAGGUUUUUCUCCUGGGGAGACCAAAGGGUCCUGAUCAGGUGGAGCAUCCUCACACCCCUGCUGACCCUCUAUCUGUCAUCGGGUUCGAGCCGCUGUCACUGAUCCAUCACUAAGCAGCACAGCAGACGCACUUACGCCUCCUGCAGGUUGGUUCUGCCCCCUGCUGGU
rnacentral:lncRNA from 1 species